UACAGAGGGGGCAAGCGUUGUCCGGAUUUAUUGGGCGUAAAGAGCGUGUAGGCGGUUCGGUAGGUCCGUUGUGAAAACUCGAGGCUCAACCUCGAGACGCCGAUGGAAACCAUCGAACUAGAGUCCGGAAGAGGAGAGUGGAAUUCCUGGUGUAGCGGUGAAAUGCGCAGAUAUCAGGAAGAACACCCGUGGCUAAGGCGGCUCUCUAGUACGGUACUGACGCUGAGACGCGAAAGCGUGGGGAGCGAACAGG
rnacentral:rRNA from 1 species